AGCGAACGUUAGCGGCAGGCCUAACACAUGCAAGUCGAGCGAGAAAGAGGACUUCGGUCCUCGAGUACAGCGGCGUACGGGUGAGUAACACGUGGGUAAUCUGCCCUUCGGUGGGGGACGAACAACCCGAAACGGGUUAGGCUAAUACCGCAUUCGCCGGCAUGACCUGUGGAUUAUGCCGGGAAACGGUGGGCCGUCUACUUGUAAGCACACGCCGAAGGAGGAGCCCGCGUCCCA
rnacentral:rRNA from 1 species